GCAGUCGAACGGACUAUUUUGAAGAGUAAUCGGAUUGAUAGUUAGUGGCGAAAGGGUGAGGAACAGGUAGGUAACGUACCUUUGGCUUCGGGAUAGCUCAUCGAAAGGUGGGGUAAUACCGGAUGAUGUCAUCUGUUUAAUUCAGAUGACCAAAGAUUUAUCGGCCAUUGAGCGGCCUAUCUCCUAUCAGCUUGUUGGUGAGGUAACGGCUCACCAAGGCGACGACGGGUAGCGGGACUGAGAGGUUGGUCCGCCACAUCGGAACUGAGACACUGUCCGGACCUCCACGGAGGGCUGCAGUAACGAAUAUUGGGCAAUGGGCGAAAGCCUGACCCAGCAAUGCCGCGUGUAGGAUGAAGCCCCUCGGGGUGUAAACUACUUUCAGGGAUUAGAAAGCUUCGGCUGAUCAGUCCCAGAAGAAGUCACGGCUAACUUCGUGCCAGCAGCCGCGGUAAGACGAAGGUGGCAAGCGUUAUUCGAAAUCACUGGGCUUAAAGGGCGCGUAGGCGGAAUUGUUAGUGUCAGGUGAAAUCCCCCGGCUUAACCGGGGAAUUGCUUGGCAAACUGCAAUUCUUGAGGCAAGUAGGGGUGUGUGGAACUCUUGGUGGAGCGGUGGAAUGCGUAGAUAUCAAGAGGAACGCCGAAGGUGAAGACAGCACACUGGACUUGUUCUGACGCUGAGGCGCGAAAGCGUGGGGAGCGAACAGGAUUAGAUACCCUGGUAGUCCACGCCGUAAACGAUGUGUACUAGGUCGCGGAGGUUCUGACACCGUCGCGGUCGUAGCAAA
rnacentral:rRNA from 1 species